GGGGAGGCGCGCUCUGCCACCGUAACGCCCCUGCGUCGUGUGCAACCCUGGCCACCGACGACCACUGAAGUAGGGAGGAGAGAGAUGGCAGAAGAGGAGAGUCGCCGAGCCCGUCAUAUCUCGGAAAGGAAGGACACGCAGCCCGGCGCCGGGGACCUCAUCUCUGCGACCCGACGGGUGGCCUCUCACGACCCUGCCCUCCGCCAGCCCCUCGUCAGGCUGCACCUCCGCCUGGUGCCACGACCUAGACCGCCAUCCCCGAGGACUCCGAGCUCGCGCUGACCCCGCCGGCCUCGGGCCACCGCCGUCUUCGCCGACCGGCUCCCCCCCCACCCCAGGGCAUGGGAGUCCUGGGAGGGGCUGCGGUUACAUCGUCUUCCUUCCCGCCCCGCCGUGUACCGGCCGUCCUACGACCCCUCGUCCCCUCGGUAGUCCAGAAGUCAGACUCCAGCUCUUCCUCGAACCCGCCGGGUGACUUGGACACGUUGCUUAAUGUCCCCGUGACUCAGCGUCUUUGCUGGAGAAAUGGGAGUAACCCUUGCCAGAAGUGUCAUAGGAAACUUCCAGAGCUCACCGGUGCAGGCUGGAGGUGCGGAAGCGGGCAGGUGUGACCGGGCCUAUGGGGAGUGUGGCCUACCUGCUCCUGGCAAUUUACCUGGGCUCAAGGUGACAUGGCUUUGCUCCAAAACCCGGACCCCCCCCCCCCCCCAUCUCUUCCAUUAGCACUUGCCAGGACCAGGAGGCAGAGGAGCAGGACAGAAUGGGGUUCCCGCUUCCGCUCUGGGACCCCCACAGCAGUCCCGAACUUCUUGCCUCUGGACUCCUUUUAAUGGAAAAACUCUUGAUUACGUCACUGUUCUUCCCUGUUGCUGUUACUUGAAGUAAAAGGCAAUUACCUAAUUGA